rnacentral:rRNA from 1 species
UACGAAGGGGGCUAGCGUUGCUCGGAAUCACUGGGCGUAAAGGGUGCGUAGGCGGGUUUUUAAGUCAGAGGUGAAAUCCUGGAGCUACAACUCCAGAACUGCCUUUGAUACUGAAAGUCUUGAGUAUGGGAGAGGUGAGUGGAACUGCGAGUGUAGAGGUGAAAUUCGUAGAUAUUCGCAAGAACACCAGUGGCGAAGGCGGCUCACUGGCCCAUAACUGACGCUGAGGCACGAAAGCGUGGGGAGCAAACAGGG